rnacentral:rRNA from 1 species
UUUAAAGUCUAAUCUGCCCUAUGAGGUAUUAAAUGGCCGCGGUAUUUUGACCGUGCAAAGGUAGCAUAAUAAUUAGUUUUUUAAUUGAAAGCUGGAAUGAAUGAUUGGACGAGAAAAUAACUGUCUCAAUUUAAUUUUAUUAGAAUUUUAUUUUUAAGUAAGAAAGCUUAAAUAGUGUUAAAAGACGAGAAGACCCUAUAGAGUUUUAUAGUUAAUUAAUUAUAGAUUUUUUAGAAUUUUUUUUAUUAAUAUUUAAUUAAUUAUUUUGUUGGGGCGAUAGGAAAAUAUAAAGAACUUUUUUUAGAAAUUUUUAUCAUUGAUUUAUGAUUUUAUGAUCCAUUAUUUAUGAUUAGAAGAUUAAGUUACCUUAGGGAUAACAGCGUUAUUUUUUUUUAGAGUUCUUAUCGAAAAAAAAGAUUGCGACCUCGAUGUUGGAUUAAAAUUAAAACUUGGUGUAGGAGCUUAGUUAUUAGGUCUGUUCGACCUUUAAAAUUUUACA